AGGAGAGCAUCGGGCCCCCGGCACACCAAUUACAUACUUCAGUCCAACUCAUGGCAAACUGACAGGCAACCAAGUGGUAAUUUCAUCAAAGGUGUAAGCAGCAACUCCAAAUUAAGGAGAGAAAUAGAGGAAAAGAGAGAAAUAGGAUUGGAAUGCUGCUGAAAACCAGCUGUUGGAAUGUAUUUGAAAAACAAUUUACUCAAGCUAGAGUAGCGUAAAUAAGUUGUCACUCUGUUUCCUUUGAAACAUUUAAAACUGUAGAUGCCUUAUAAAUUGGGCCAUGGAUUCUCAUUUCUCUUCACUGUCUCUGACAUUGCUGCUGCUAAGCACUUGGCGCAUUUGAUUGGGUCUCGAUAUGGAAUUAUUUAAAAUUUGCACAUACUGUCUUUUAAUUGGCUUACAGUCUUCUGGGGUGUUAAAUGCAUUAUUAUUUUUUACUCUGUUUAUUAUACUAAAAAAGUACCAUUACCGUGAACCACAUACUCAAGUACUAUAAUGAGAGUACAUGUAGUUUGUUACUUUCCACCGCUGGUGGUAACCAAAGUCAAAUAACAAAAAGCAGCAUAUUUAGAACACUCAGCAGGUAGAACUGACAUGUCAGAGAAUUGGAAAAAAGAUGACAGUAGAAACAAUACACGUCAAUUUAACAUAUUCUCAGAGACAAAGAGCAUACAUCCACCAGAGUAUAGCACAGUCUCUGCCCUGGCAGACUGACAGAGAAAGAAAGUCUCAGUGGAACAGACACUGCGGAAGCAGCAGAGCGGGGUUUGUAUGAGGUUUUGCAACCGUACAAUGUGGCAGAUAUCAUGUGUAUGAAUGCCAUAAAAUCAGAUGACAAGAAAGGGGUUAAACACAAAGACUGUGGAGGUCUGAAUAGUACAAAGUCUCUGAAAAAAUCAUUUUAGGAGAAUAUCACACCCUUGAGAUGUGUACAUGACAUUAUAGCAUUUAUAGCAACCUGCAUAAAUCCAAAGUGUAGACCAGCAUACAGAAUGCCAUAGAGAAAUAGCCAUAACUGCUUAACAGAUAAUGGGCUAAAAAAAUACUUGCAGUGAAAAGUCUUCUAUUCCACCAGCCAGUACAUUAUGUGCACUGAACAUACACUCCUGGGCAAAAAAUGGGCACAAAAUGGCAAAAUUUUAAGCUUUUAAAUCAUUGGUCAGGAAAUUAGCAAGAAUUAAACAAAUAGAUAAAGGACUAUCUAUUUGUUUAUGGGAUAGUUUUUCCCUUUGAUUUCUUUAAAUGUUGAAGCCUUGUGGCCCUUGAUGGGCUGCAUCAGGUGUGGCAGAUAACCAAGUAAUGACUAAUCUUUUAAGAAAAAAAAAACAUCCCAGAAAUUUUUGGAAAAAUUUGUACACCCAAAUAUGUGUUCGUUUGAAUUUUCUAAUCAUUAUCAUAAUUUUACCUUUACCUUUGCAUACAAGAAGACUUUAUAAGUGAAUUUCCCUGUUUCUAGCUUUUCCCCAAACAGUUCACUGCAGCAAAAGAAAACCAGCAAAUGGUGGCACAGGAGCUCUCAGUUUCAUCCUGAGAGGUUGGGGUAAUGUGAAGCAGGAUAACUUUAUGAGUCAGUGGAGCUCUAGUGGUGAGUAAUGCUAUAAUAAUAUGAUUCAUUUAUAUUAUAUGAAUUUCUUAAACCCAGUGUAAUUUUACAAAACCUGCAGACAGCCAAACUGCAAUAUUCCACAGACACAAACAAACCUUUCACUAACACAUGGGGAAAAAAGUAUGUAAAGAGGAAUAGGGAUUAAGGAUGGGUAGUCAUGUAAGCAGGACUUUGUAAGCAGGACUUUGACAAGUGGACUCAAAUUGGUUGCCAGUGUAGCUGAUGGAAAGUAGAGUAGCAUGAGUUGAUAUUUUAGUAUGGCUGAGGACUCUGGCAGCUGAGUUUUGUAUAUAAUGAAAACAUUAUUAGGGUUUAGCUAGAAUGCCAAUAAAAAUUUAAUUAAGACUUUCAAUAUGAGGGAGUUGUACAGGGCCAGUGUUUCAGCACCAUAUGAUUUAUUUGUGCAGGUGGACUGCAUCUUAGCCGUGUGUGAGACUCUCUCAUAGAGCUCUUUAUCUCCCUUCCUGUCAGACUAAAGCAAUAAUACAGAAGCGCAGCAGAAACACAUGAGCCAAAACACAGUUAGGCUUUUAAAGUUGGAGAACUCUGGCAUUUCUCAUUUCAGGGAGCAUGCGUAUAUACAUACAUGUAUGUAUGUAUGUAUGUAUGUAUGUAUGUGUGUGUGUGUUAGGAUCUGGCUAUAGGCUCCAAAGGCUGUUAAAAUGGCUCAUGAUCCAAGGAGGGGAUUGGAUUAAAGCAUGUGGAGUAAUUUGUCCUUUCUGUCUAGAAUCUGAGCAUCAGACUAUUGGAGCCCUGGCCUGGAUGGUCCUACUCUGCCUAUGAGAGCAGAGCCAGCAGUGUCUGAGAUCUUUAGUCAUGCACACUGCUGAUGCUUUGGCCACUGAUGGCUAAUAAAAGUAUUUGCUCUGUCAUGGCUCAAAAUA